rnacentral:tRNA from 1 species
CCUCUGAUAGCUCAGUUGGUAGAGCGGUGGACUGUAGAUUUAUCAGAAGGUAUCCAUAGGUCGCUGGUUCAAAUCCGGCUCAGAGGA